CACCUCCAGCAUAACCAGUAUUGGAGGCACUGCCUGCCCAGUGACAACCGUUAAACGGCCGCGGUAUCCUGACCGUGCAAAGGUAGCAUAAUCACUUGUUCUCUAAAUAGGGACUUGUAUGAAUGGCCACACGAGGGUUUUACUGUCUCUUACUUCCAAUCAGUGAAAUUGACCUUCCCGUGAAGAGGCGGGAAUAUAUUAAUAAGACGAGAAGACCCUAUGGAGCUUUAACUACUUAGCCCAAAGAAACAAAUUUUAUUACUAAGGAAACAACAACACUCUUUAUGGGCUAACAGCUUUGGUUGGGGUGACCUCGGAGAACAAGAAAUCCUCCGAGCGAUUUUAAAGACUAGACCUACAAGUCGAAUCACACAAUCGUUUAUUGAUCCAAAAAAUUGAUCAACGGAACAAGUUACCCUAGGGAUAACAGCGCAAUCCUAUUCAAGAGUCCAUAUCGACAGUAGGGUUUACGACCUCGAUGUUGGAUCAGGACAUCCCGAUGGCGCAACCGCUAUCAAAGGUUCGUUUGUUCAACGAUUAAAGUCCU
rnacentral:rRNA from 1 species